GGUGCGCGCUGUUUCCCUGGAAUUAUACGAUUGAAGAAAACACUUACUCGCCUGUGAAACGACCCCCGCCCCUCGGUUCAGCUUGCACUCGCGCGUGUCCGCGUUUCUCUGUCCGCUUUUACGAGCAGCCUUUGAUGGACUUUCCGUGUGCGUGAAGACGAACAAACGUUUUCCUCUUACGGACAAAUCGAACUGUUUAUCUUCGAUAAUGUCGUCGUACUUAACACGGCUGCAACAUUUUAAAACGAUUGUAAAGUGUCACGAACGAUCGCAUAACCGCUAAGCGUAAUCUUUCGGAAUCUUGUAGAUUUUAAAUGUCACAAAGCGAAAAUCGAAAGCUAACGUUUUCUCGCUUGUGUCUUGUCCGUAUCCAAAUUCUAUUGCACGCGUAAUGGUUUCUUUACGACACAGCGCGAAUACCACGCCUAUCUUCGAACGGUAACAUCCGUAGAAAAACGUGCAAGAGACAAAGAACGAGUCAUCAUACAGGUAACUGCGUAAAAUGAAUCGUUCGUUCGCAUUAGGAUAGUUAAAUCAAAGAAUGAAAAUAACGAUACACAUUGCACGUACCUGAAUUAAUGGAACGCAACUGAACGUACUUAAGGAUAGAAGAGCUUUUGCUUAUUAAGGCACUUUUAUACUGUAGGAUUACGUGGAAAUUCUUAAACGAACUGAUCAAAGUAAAGUGAACAGAAGUUAGGAAAGUUGAUAAGAUCCGUCAACUUAAAUGGGAGAACCUGUUUGCGACGCUAUAAGCGAUAAAAACAGUCAUUUAAAACAUUUAACUAAGAACGCUGGAAAUGUACGCUCCAUAUACAACACUAUGGUUACACCGUGGAGAAUCGACCGAGUUCUCGCCGCUCUGUGACAACUUUGAGGCAACUCUUCAGGCACACCUGUGUAUGUACCUAUUAUACUUCACCCAGUUCAUGAAAUAUUUCGUGUCUACGAUGUUGUUCAUUCCCCCGGAUCUUCUAUAUGCAAUCAAUUUGUAUUGUUUAACCCAACGAUGAAAAACUGUCAAUCGUUGAUAGUUUAGAAUAACAAACAAGCGCUUUAAUAAUUUAUAGUCCGUAACAAGGGACAGAAUUCCGGUUGGAUACGAAAGACUGUACGAAUUUAUAGAUUUCUCAAACGAUUUAAAAUAAUCCGAUCCGUUACUCGCUACUGCGACGAAGAUGACGACGAGGAUCUCGCGAAUCGUAGACUACGACGCAACAUAGCAAAGGAGUUACAGAAUAUAUGUAUUAUAAUACGAGGUGAUACAAUAAAAUAGAAGGCAAAUAACGAUCGUCAAAAGCUGACAGGGAUGAACAAAGACGAAUGUACAUAUGCGUCUUCGCAUUUCAUCGUACGUUAUUACAACGCGUUGGCGUGAUUUAUGACGAUACAAAUUAUUAGAUUCAGGCAUGACAUCCUUUCACGCGAGAUCGUUGUUUCUCUUAACGUUUGUUUCAGUUUUUAUUGUCACCAAGCCGCAUACGUGGCAUAGAAUAAACCCGAUAGUCAAUGGUUUCCUCGUGUGCUGCGUUUUGGAGGGUCAGGCGACUCCGAAUGUGUGAAAUUCUACAAUUACGCGAGAACAAUGCGAUAUUCUAUCAUUAUCGAUAUCGCUCGUCGUAGACAAUCUAUCAUAUUGGCGGCAACGGUUUUGAAAAAGAAAUAAAUAUAUAGCAAGUAUCAUCGAGAAGACAGCGGGUAACGAGUAAAUGAUAAAAAUUAAAUUUUCCUAAAUUAUGUAUAUUCUUUAAGACGCGAGGCUUAGGAUAAUACACAGAAGGUUAAGUAAAACUUUUAUAUUUUAGCUUCUAAAUGAGCAACUACCUCGAGUACGGUAAACAGUAAAGGCGGGCAAAUAAACUCGACUAAGCAACUGCUAUCUUGUACAGAAGUGUAACUGAAAUGAAAACAAGAGCAUCUUCUUAAAGCAUGCUCUUUAAGAGUUACAGAACUAUACAGUCGUUUGAAAA